CUUCCUUCUCCUCCUCCUCCUCCUCCUGUUAGAAAAAAAAUGUGGUCAUGUUCAGUAAAAUCGGAAGCGAGGUAUCCGAGUCCUGAGUCCCAAAGUGACUCAGGGACAUUAAUAUCUUUGACAUGCAGGUGGAGUGAGAGGCCAUCUCCCCAGCCAGAGAGUGUUUGAAACCUGCUGAAACAGCCUGUGAGAGCAGGAGCGAUUAAAAUACGACCAUGUGCAGGUUUGUUUCUAACAAGAGCUCUCUGGCAGGACUACAAAAUGCUGAAGGUAAGCACCCAUCUGGGAGUCAGGACUGGGCUCCCAGAUGAGGCUGAAAAAACGCCUAACAUCCUUCCUGUUUCUGGAUCAUCUAUUUCAGCCUUUUUUCCUCUACUUUUUUUUUUUUUUAGAGCGGAGGUAAGGACAGGAACAUGUUUGAGCGGUCAGAGCAGUGAUUUGUGUUUUAUCUGUGAUGAUGUUUUUAUGGAGACAUUGCACAAAUCGUUCUUUCUGAAUGUGUCUCUUUCUUCUUCUUUUGUUUUGUUUUGUUUAGGCGAUCAAUAAUCAACAAAAUGAGGCCGCGAAAUAAAAAAAAGAGCAUCAAACUGCAAUAUGUAAGUGAUAAUAAAACUCUAAAACCAAUUUGACACACUCACCGUUGUUUUAGCUGUACUCUUGAGUGAACUUUAUUACUGUGGUGCAACCAUCUGGCCUCCACUACCAGAGAAAAUAUUGUUUGAACAUUACCAUAAAAUGUGUUGCAGCCUCUUUCUCCGGUUUAUUUUUAGGAGUUUAUUCUGCACGAUAAAAAAGAAAUGUUAAGUGCUACACCGAGCAAAUUUGCAUGAAAAUAGCACUUUAACGCAGCUGUAUUAGCUAGUAUUAGAGAACAUCUAAGAAAGUACAACCCUGUCUAAGUGGUUUGUAGAUGUUGUUGUGUUUUACAGUAUUUGAUUAUCUUUGUCAACAUUGGUGCAUUAAUUGUAAUAAAAUUAAAAGCUUGCUAUUUUGUCCCUUCCAGUACACCAUAGUUGCUGCUGCCAAGGUGGAAAGUAAUUACCUCGGAGACAGCUCUACCAGUAAGUCAGAGGUAAUUUGGACUUUGUGUCGAACUUAAUUAAAGCUCCUAUUAGGAACUUGUGUCAACUCUCUUGUAAAACUCUUGUAGGACCUGCAGAAAAAUGCAAAUUAAAAGCAAUUAACUUAUUAAGUUUCUGGGUUAUUUAUGAUCUUUUCAAGUUAAGAUUUGGAAAAUUAUAAUGAUCACUCAAAGGUUACAAGAGGUACACUCCACUAUGUCUUUUUUGUGACUUUCAGUCAAUCGGUUUGUGCAAUUUUAAAGGUGAUAUGUAACGUAAGUGUUUCAUGUUUCUGUCUGACAGAUCAAGAGCACAUCUGAGUAUUGAGGUCAUUUUCCAUCUCAGGUCCGAACGGCUGUCUAGCCUCACUUCGUCUCUGUUUUCCAGCACAUAAUGUCUUCUGGGAUUAAGAUAUGUGAGGAUCCAAAGACAAGGAAAAACUAACCAAAGGCCCCCCCAUGGAUCCUCUCCUGUCAGACAUGUUAAACAGAUCCACACUGACCUUAUCUGCUUUCCUCCUCUGAUGAUCCCCGCCAUCAAAUUUGUUACCUGUCAUCUUAAAGGAGAGGGAAAGACAAGGAUCCUCUUCCAAAUUAGUCAAAAACUCGCCAUUUGUUCCAAAAAGCACCACCAGAGAUUUCUACAUCUGGGUCCCAGCGCCGGAUGAUGUCAAGACUGGCGCUGACCCAAAGCCCGUCGCACUGAGAGUUCCUCAGAGAGGUCGGCUGCACGUUGUUUUCCCUUCCUGUGCCUCCGUGACAUCUUCCUGCCUCGGGGAGCCAUUUGAGGAGACCGGGGCCCCGAGCAUGGAGGACUUAGCACAGCAAAUUCCAAUUAGCCUGACAGGAGCAGGUGGGGGAGGGAGGAGGGUGAGGUGAGGGGAGCUUAGACCCCCAAGCAAGAACUUUUAAUGGCCUUAAAAUUCACUUUCCAUACAGCCUUCUGUACCACCGGGGAGCCUCCCUGCGUCUGAUCCAGGUUUAAGUUUUUAGUCUGAUUCAGAGCCGUGCCAGACAGGAACCCGGGCUCAGCUUUCUGUGAGUCUGAGCUUCAGUCGGCCUGUUAGACAGAUCACUGCUGUGUGUUUUUCAGACCAAAGCAGAGGAGACAGAGAGAGGUCCAGAGAGACCGGACUGGGAGGGUUCUCGCCUCAGCAGACUGAUGUCUCAGCAGUUUUAACAAGUUUUCAGAAAAAUUGUCUGAAAUUUCUUGUUUCUGCAGAGACCAAAGGAAUAUUAGAGUCCAACCUCGAUUCCAAAAAGGUUGGGAUCCUGGUAAC